CAAGCUACUCCAAAACCGGGGGGAGGGAGUAUUAAAACACUGGGGUGUGAUUUGACCUUCUCUAAAAAUUAGAUUAUAUAUAAUAAUUAUAUUAUUAUUUAUUAUCAUUUAAAAAUACUAAAAUCAGCUGGAGGAAAGUUUUGUUGCUGUCUCCAGUGCUCAAAAAAUGGAGAAUGGUGUGAGUCUCCUCACCAUCACUUCCCAGAUCAUAAGUCUGCUGUUACAGUCCAGAUGACCAGAACAUUUUAGAGAUCACAAAAAAUGGAAAUCAGAAUACUUUGGUCCAGCUUUGCACAACAGACAAUAAAACCACUUCUGUCUUAACAUGGGGCUGCCUGAAGCAAGCUCAACCGGAGCAUAUAAUUUAACUUUCACAAGAACCAAAAUUGUUCAGAACAAAUGUAUCAUAUAUAAAAUCUGCUUAUUCACUGUCAUCGGUUCUGCCAUGUUCAUAUCAUGCAGAGGAGGAAAAAUCCUUUCUAAAGAAAGAACUGUACAAAAUUAGCAGGAUUCCUCCCACCUUUGCAUGUUGCUUUCUGCAACGAGCCCAAGCAACAGCAUAAGAUACACCACAAAAUACUAGAUUUCAACACAGAACCUGAGCUUUCUGCUCCCCAAGCAUAAAAGUUGAUUAACUUCAUUUAGAUCAGGUAAUCUAGUGUUAUCAAAUUUUUAAAUUCUG